GUGAAACUGGAAAUCAGAACCAUAUUUACCUGAGCAAGUGCCACCAAACAGCAGUGUACCAUUUUAUCUUCUAAUCAUCUCUUUUCCUCCUUUGAACUUACCAGCUCAGACUUCAUGGAGCACAGAACCAACUUGUAUCAGUUUCCUAUUGCUGUCACAACCAACAUCCUCAAAUUUAGUAGUUUAGGCCAGGAAUUUAGUUCAGUGGUUUCACCGCCUGCUGCGCAAGCACAAGGACCCAAGUUCGAUCCCCAGUAACAAAAACAAAACAAAACAAAACAAAAUUUAGUAGUUUAACACAAUUAACAUCUAUUCUCUUACAGUUCUGGAGGUCAAAGUCAGGCCUGGGUCUCCCAAUUGAGAAUCAGUGAAUGAGCUCCUCUCUGGAGGUGCUAGGGGAUCCAUUUUCUCAUCUUUUUCCAAGGCUGCCCGUGUUUCUUAGCUCACAACCCUCUUCCAUCUUUGAAGCCAGAAAUGGUGGCUAGAAUCCUCACCUCAGAUCACUCUGACCCUGGCUUUUCUGCCUCCCUCCUCCAUUUGAGGAUCCUUGUAAUUACUUUGUGCCUACCUAGGUAAUCUAGGAUCAUCUCCCUAUUUUAAAAUCAGCUCAUGAGUAGCACUAUACCUACAACAAUCUUAACUCAUCUUGCUGAGUAACCUAACACAUCACGAGUUCUGCGAAUUAGGAAGUGGGACAGUGCUGGAAAGCUGUUACCCAACCUACCACACAACCUCUGCUCUUCUCCCACUACAUCCCAUCAGGGUCCCAACUCCUUCACAAUGCCCCCCACACACCUCAGCCUCCAGACUGCACACACUCUGUUCUCUGGUCACACCAAUCUUCUCCUCUUUUUCUAGUACCAGAUCAUAGUCCAGGCCUGGCAAAGAGCAGGCACUCAGAGAGUACUCCUGGAACUGGAUGAAGCAGAGAAAGGCUUCCCCAAGGUGCCCUCAGAUCUAGUUCAAAUGAUCAUACCAAACCACCUCAACAAUCCACAGCUUAGUUUGCUGCACAGUUUACUGUCAUGUAGAAGAAUCUCUGUACCACGAGUGACACGCAGCACUAUACUGUAUUGCUACCCUGUGAGGCAAUUCUAGAAUAACUGACAAAAUUAACCUCAAGGAAAAUAAAGGAUUUAUCUAGGAUGAUUUACAGACUUCAAAAUUAAACGAAAGAGAAUGCAUGGCAACCACCAACAGCCCACCACACACACUCAGCCCC
rnacentral:lncRNA from 1 species